UACGUAGGGGCGAGCGUUGUCCGGAAUGAUUGGGCGUAAAGGGCGCGUAGGCGGCCUAUCAAGUCAGUAGUGGAAGUCCAGCUUUCAAGGUUGGAAGUGCUAUAGAAACUGAUGGGCUUGAGUGCAGGAGAGGUUAUCGGAAUUCCCGGUGUAGCGGUGAAAUGCGUAGAGAUCGGGAGGAACACCAGUGGCGAAGGCGGGUAACUGGACUGCAGCUGACGCUGAGGCGCGAAAGUGUGGGGAGCAAACAGGAUUAGAUACCCU
rnacentral:rRNA from 1 species